rnacentral:rRNA from 1 species
GAUGAACGCUAGCGACAGGCUUAACACAUGCAAGUCGAGGGGCAGCGAGGGCGUAGCAAUACGCCUGUCGGCGACCGGCGCACUGGUGAGUAACACGUAUGCGACCUGCCCCCUACAGGGGUAUAACCCGUAGAAAUGCGGACUAAUCCCCCAUAGUCCCGCGGGCUGCAUGGCCUGCGGGGGAAAGGGUUUCCGGUAGGGGAUGGGCAUGCGGCGCAUUAGCUAGUUGGCGGGGCAACGGCCCACCAAGGCGACGAUGCGUAGGGGUUCUGAGAGGAAGGUCCCCCACACUGGUACUGAGACACGGACCAGACUCCUACGGGAGGCAGCAGUGAGGAAUAUUGGUCAAUGGGCGCAGGCCUGAACCAGCCAAGUCGCGUGAGGGAAGACGGUCCUACGGGAUUGUAAACCUCUUUUGUCGGGGAGUAACGUGCGGGACGCGUCCCGUAUUGAGAGUACCCGAAGAAAAAGCAUCGGCUAACUCCGUG